rnacentral:tRNA from 1 species
GAUUAGCUCAGUUGGUUAGAGCAUCUGCCUUACAAGCAGAGGGUCGGGAGUUCGAGUCUCUC